GCUGUGCCUUACUCAGAGUAGCAUUGGUUACUUAGACUAUAGUCACCAAGACCUCUCUGAGUAGAGUAAAGCU
rfam:Cavia porcellus supercont2_84 genomic scaffold, whole genome shotgun sequence.